ensembl:lncRNA
CUCAGGCCUCACCCCACACCUGGUGAACCCUGAUCUCGGCCGGGUGCUCAGCUCUGGAGGGCUUGCAAAGUCCUGCAAGUGUCUGUGCAUGGAGAAGGUUUCUGAGUUCCUGAGAUGAGGUCACAGUCAAUGCCCUAGUGCUGCUGCCACUGCUGGCAGUUGCAUGGGUACUCAGGGCUCUGGGCAGGUAGAUCCAGGAUUAGCCAAGCCUGGACUCCUGUCUGCUGAUGCACUGGUUUGACAAGGCCGAGUUUGGAGCAUUUUUGUACUGGGCAUCUUCUUAGUGCUGGCCUUGGCAGUGAGGGUUUCUGGUGGCAUGGAAGGGCAUACCAACUUCCCACCCAACAUCAGCUACACCAACUUUGGUCUGUGGCUCACAGCAUUUUCUCCUCCCUAGAUGAGUGGGCCAACCUCUGUCAGGCUGAAGGGACCAGAUACAUAGACCUUAAGACAAAGCAUCAUGAAGGCUUCCCAAACUGGCUGAGUCCUGUCCCCUGGAACACAAACUCUAGGGACAAACUAAAUGGGAUUUGGUUGGUGAGUUGGAAACAGCUGUCCAGGAGAGGCACACAGGCUAUGAACUCCAUUACUCCUUCUUAGAAUAUUUCUAUCAAUCUACCUACUUGAUAAGAAAAAAAAGCUUCCAAGUGCAGCACUGUGUUGGUGUGAAACAAUACCUGACCAAGAUGACCUUGUUAACAGGUACAAACCUGAUAUGAUCUGGUCUGAUGGGAAGUGCGAAUGCCCUGAGACAAACUGGAAUUCUACAAAUUUCUUUUCUUGGCUCUACAAUGAUAGUCUCAUCGGGGAUGAGGUGGUAGUAAAUGACUGAUGGGGUCAGAAAUGUUCCUGCCACCACGAGGAUGCUACAAUUGUCAAGAUAAAUUCAACCCAAGGCAUUUGCCAUGCCACAAGCAGGAGGCACACACUGCCCUCAACAAGGAAUCCCGAGACUAUCAUCGCAACAUGGCAUGUCACACACUGAAUCUGAAAUCAUUUCUGAACUGGUAGGGACAGCAAGUUUGGGAGCAACUAUCUUAUUAACACUGGAUCAAUUAAAGAUGGACAGAUUGUUCCUGUAUUCCAAGAAAGGCAUCUUGUCAUUAGAAAGUGACUGAGCAUCAAUAGGGAGUCAUCUAUGUCUUUAAACCACAGGAGGCACCAUCAGAAAAGGACACUGAGUGAGUCUAUGGAUGUACAUCAAAAGGAUCAGCUUCUUAUGCCAUUUUACAGCACUGGCUAGAAGAGUCUUAAGCCUUGAAUCCCCAUAACCACUUCAGCUAAAUGUUGGGAAUCCAGGAAGAUCUAAAGUUGUCCAGAUCUGGUAGCAACCUCCUCAUUUCUCUGCACCACGGCCACCCUCUGUGCUCCUGCUUGAUUUGCUUGGACUGUAAAGUGACAGAAUUACUGAAGUUCAAGAGCAAAGUGUCACAGCCUGCUGUUUGCCUCUUUGAUUUGUCUUUUGUAGUACCAUCAUGAUAAGAAACUACUUUUCCCCACCUAGAGAUGGCUUUCCCAACAUGUUUUAAUCAAAGUAACUGAGCACAUUAAACUGUAGCCUCAAUGGACCAGGGAUCUGAGCUCCAUCACUAGGGCAUGACUCUCUGGUCAGCAGAAGAUGAAACUGGACGGUUAAGCUCCAGUGACAUUCAUCCAACUUUGGAGAUUAUCUAAAAUGGAAACUUCUCUCUAUUCUCUGUCUUUGAUGAUCUACUUUCUUCCUCAAUAACUUUAGGUAAAGGAUAAGCCAAGAUACCCCUUUUUCUAUGGGAGGAGAGGGAAAGGUUUAGCAAGCACAACCACAUACUAUUUACUUAGCAUCAAUUGUCAGCAAUACCUGCUCCCCCAGAAAAAAAUAAAAGAGUCCAAGAGAGCCUAGAGGGGAAGGAAAGGCUUUUGAGGCUGCUAAGGUCAACUCUUCAGAAGUUUCCAAAGCAAAUUAAGUGCUCUGGCAUCUAGUCUGUUUACCAUGAUACUAUUAAGAAGUGAAUGUAAUUCUGCCCUGCCUUUCUAGAUAUGGUAACAUAAGUAAACUUAAAUAUUUUUUAAAAGCUAUGGAUUUCUCUACUCUCUCACUUGUAGUGUUUUGGGAAUGCUGAGCAUUGUUGAAAUGGGAUGUCCUGGAAUUUCCUGGUUUGAAUUUUGAUGUGUCCUUGGGACAGUGUUUGACUUCUCUGUCAUUGCAAGCUCUAAAUUAGUGGUUAGGUUGAGAUGCUUGGUCAGAUUCAGAUGCAAUCAUUUUGUUGGGAAUAUGUCAUACAUAGUGUCUUGCACUUCUAUUAGGAAGUACAGAAUGUCCACUUGUCUCUUGGGCACUGUUAGCAGCCACUCUCUGCUCAGACCCUUUAACUCAUCAGGAGGGUGUAAAAUGGUGAUAUACUAAUUCUUCCAUUCCCAAAUCAUUUAUUUUUUUUUCACCACUUCUUCCAACUUUAUUUUUAGGUAUAGGUGGAAAAAGCAGGUUAUAUCUAGACUUCUUAUAGUCCAACUUGCAAUGAAUAUAUGUUCAGACUAACUCUUCAUUAAGAAGAAAUGUUAAUGAAGCACACUUUCUAGAGGCUGGUAUCUUCUUCUAAACCAAAAGGAAAAAAAAAAAAAGACAAGGGCAUGAAUAGUGAAGUUGUCAGGUAACAUUUUCUUGUUUCAAUAAUUUUACUUUUUGAAUACUUUAGAAAAUAAAGCCAUGUUUUAACUGAGAUUAUUAACUAAGUACAAAACUAUGUGUUGUUUUAUUUGUAGAUGCAGAAUAUUACAAAUAUCUGCAGCAAGCCCAUGAAGUAUUUCUAUUGUCCAUAUCAAUAUUUUAGUAUAAAAUAUAUGCAAAUGUUUCAAUUAAACAAAACCAAGGAAUUCAAAACAAGCUGCAGAGAAACAUGCAAUGAAGGCUGAAAUUUAUAAAUUAAAAAUACCAUCUAUACAUAAUGUACAGUCAUGCAUUUAGAAAUGAAUAUUAUAUGUCUCAAGAGUAAAUUUUCACAGGCAAAUGCUGCUGCAAAAAUGUUUGCUAAUACAAAGGGAUGAGAUUUUAGUACAUUCUGCAUUAAUAUUUUAACCCAAGAAGUUGAAAUUUGGUAUUUUUUUCUUCCAAGCUGUCCAAAAAUCUACAGGAGUAAAAUCCCAAUUUUUUGUGCAUCUCAUUUGAAGUGUUUUACCAGGAACACAUUUUCCAAACUUCAGGUAAAACAAAUAUUUUAUUAGCUAGAAAAAUUCUAUAAAGAUAAACUUCUCCUUGCCCUUUUGGUUAUGCUGACUAGUUUUUAAAUAAUAAAUUGGCUCCUUAGCAUUCUUUACAAGUGAUUAAUGAGUUUACUUUUUCAGGUAUCACACUAGAUUUAUGCAUUUAAGUAUGCUUGAUAUAUAUCAGUAUAUUUCAUUUGUUAUUCUACUGAUGUUCAAAUUAUCCCAUCUUUGAUGAGUUGGAUCCUCUUUAAACGGGUUUGGAUAGAACUCUGGAAGUUUUUCAAGAUAGUGGCUUGACUAAGUCGUUUUAAUGGAAAUAUUCAACAGGUUGCUGGGCUUAGAAAGGCAGAAAGAGCCAACUAAUUGAAGGCUCCCUUCUCAGAUGGCAUUUGGUGUAGUGGCACCAAAUGAUUUCCUUGCCUUCCUGUUAUCUGAUUUGUUCACAUUUUAAUUCCUUGUUUCAUUGCAAGGUAUCUCGUGCCUAGCCAGUAUGUCCUGAGUUUCUCUCUCUGUUCCUCCAAGAAAACUUUGAAAGCAGUUAUACUUCUCUAUUGAGAGCAUAGUGCGCUAUUGACUUGUGAGUACAGUUAACGCACGCCUUCCUUUUCUCAGAGAUUUGCUAAGCACCUACUAAUGUGGCCGGUAUCAAAGAGGAUAAGACAGACAUGAGUUUGCUCAUGAUGACUUUCACAUUCUGUAGCAGAAGUCAGAGGAAGAACAAUGGACAAAUACAGAGCCUCGCGGUACCUGGAGGAAUUUGUUCUGUGAUGAAAGCAGUAAUGUGAUAGAGACUGGAGCAGGGAACUUCCUUAGCUUGUGUGGUCAGACAAAUCUCUUAAGAUUUGAGCCUCAUGAAGACCCAAGGGGAGUGAUGUCCAGGCAGAAGAAACAAGUGCAAAGGCCCUCAGGUGGGGAUGUGUGUGGUGUGUCAAAAGAGAAAGAGCACACUUAUCUCACUUAGUGGGACUGCACUAUACUAAAAUAUAAUUGGCCCCCAAGUAUCUAAGGAUUUGCUUCUUUGUUAGUUUACUCAUUUAUGCUUAGCCUGGUUCCGAAAAAGAUUUGAAAUAGCUCUUUGAAUGUUGCUGUUCCUUACAGGGCCUAUGGAUUUGAGACAAAUAAAAGUGAGUCCUGUAGCUGCAAAAGGCCAACAAACAACUGAAACAGGGCAUUAAGUCUAUCAUCCAGGAUAUGUCACUUAAUAAAUUAUUUUUAAGAAAAUUGUUGCACUGAAUUUAAUUUCAAAUCAGCAGACCCACUAUAUUCUCUAAUUAAUCAUGGCACAUACUAUUUACCAAACUCCUGUUAAAAACAAAUUUCUUUUGUACACAUUACAAAGAAAUGUUACAUAAAAUUAAGCACCAAGUAAUGACUUUAACUUGCAGUUAGUUAAUAAUACACAGAUGGUCACGCAGCUGUAAAGAAAGCUGCUUGGGACAUUAGCAGAUAUGCUGGCACACAGGAACUGGAAUCGGGCGUACUAUGAGUCCUGUGGGCCCAGCUCUGGGUGGGAGGAAGAGGACUUCUGAGUCAAAAGUCAGUCAAUGAUUUGCCUGCAGGAAUAGGUAGAAACUUGAGGGAGGUCUUUCCCAGAGAAAUCUGAAUGACUUCUAAGUUUCUCCAAUGGUUUGUAAGUUAUUUUUUCACUUCUAGCCCAGCAAAAAAGGGUUUUAUAAACUUAACAGAAUUUGCAUUCCAUAUGAGAUUUACCGAAUGACCUUGACUCAGAAGUUCUUUUCUGCCUUGCAAGAAGCUAUAAUUGUCCCAAGUUCUAUGAGCCACUUAACUCAGCUAAUUUCUUGGCACUUAAUGAUCCCAAGCUAAGACCUUCAGACGUUACAUUUUAGAAAUGAAAAGAAAAUAAAGCCCUAGGAUUUGAUGGAAACCAAUGGUACGUCUCUCUGAAAGUCUGCAGGCCACGCAAGCAAUCAUAUAAACAGAAAAAUGAAAGUUAUCUUAUAUUCUAGUGGAUGGGUUGAAAAUCAAUGGCCCAGCAGAUUUGUGAUUAAAAUUUGUUUAAGCCUCUAAAAAGGAGGAAUGGAAAGUUGUUAGGAGGCUGAAAAUCCUUCCUCUUUUACAGAACAGCUUUUUACAUAUUUUCCCAAUUCUCUUUACUGAUAUCUGAAAGCGAGGGCCAGGCAGAGAAAAGGGUUCACACAGUGAAAAAUCUCUGCUGACCUGCCUGGAGGCUUCAUGCCUGAGGAGUAGACUACUUGAGGUCAUUCAAGGCUCCACACAUUCACACUGUGACUCUUUUUUGUCAUCUCAAGUGUCCAUGUACCUCCUUUGGUUCACAUGCGAAAUGGGUAUCAAAGAACUAUGUACUUCAUGGUGACAACUUCUUAAACGGAUGGCAAACAUUCCUGGCAUAUGUAGGUUGGAGAUCACAUCAGUGCCAUCAUUACUUCUCUCAGGUGUUUGUGGCUGGUUACUGUUUCUCAAGGAUGCUGGUUAAGUCAGUCAUAAACUUUUGCACUGCUUAUUGAAUAGAAUGGCAACAAGGAAUUAUGUUAUUACUAGGCUUUGGGGCAAUGUAAUAAUGUGCUUACACAAACAGGCACACACCCCAUUACAGGACUAAUGAUGAGCUGAAGACAGAGAGGAAACUUAAGAGAAGGGAAGCUUCAGAAUGGGAUUAAUCAACAACUCCAAGGCAAAAUCAUGCUAUGCUUAUGUUUUCUGAAAAUAUUGACUUUAAAAAAUUAAACAUGGGGCUAAAACAAUGUCAUUGUCCCCAUAAUAGUCUAUGUGAUUAUUUCAGAUCAGAUGGAAUGCAGAAUAACAGAGAAAAGGUGCCCCAUGGAGAGUGUUGUACCCCUUCUCACCUUCAGAAAGGGCACUUGUGCAUGGUAGGAGGCUUGCUCUUUUUAUUUAGCUUCAACCCUAUCACCAAUGAUAAUGUUACACCCCCCCACACACACUGCUUCUUGCUCAAACACAUGCACUCAUAACUACUGGUAGCAGGAAAAGGUCUCUGUUUCUUCUUCCUGUGGAUUUUCAAAGCCAUUAUAGGCUUCUCCAAAAUACUUUGGGGCAGGGAGAGAAGUCUGAAUCCAGCAGAGUUGAAAAUGCAGGGAUCGAGAGAAUACAGAAUACAAGGCAGAGAAGAAGCCAUGAUUCCUUAAGGACAAUGCUGAGUUGGUGCUGGAAAUCAGGAAUCCUUCACUGAGCAAGUGAUAACUGUUUCAAACAGAGUCAUCUGGGAGCUGACCAAGGAGCCAAAUAGUAAAACUUUGAUGUGAAAUCUUUGUACAUAUGGUCCUACAAUAGGAGCAUGAAAGUGUUCCCUCACACAAACAGACGGUGUCAGGCAAAACCUUGACUAUAUCUGAUGGCAUGUUUACUGACCAUGCAAAUUUGGAGUUGAGCUUUGUGGGAGAUUAGAUUAUCAUUUGGCAAAUAUUCACUCCCUGUCCUCCCUAGCUCCAGCCCCUGUGUCCCUCCAUCCCUCCCUCCCCAGCUGAUGUUGGGCUUGGCCAUGGGACCUGCUUUGCCUGAUGGGAGAUUAGUAGACAUGACACAGCAGGGAGUGGAAAUGUGCAUGUGCUGUUGGGUGGCCUUUCUUCUACUUUUGCCAUGAGAAGAAAAUGUAAUCGCUAGUCUGGUGGUCUAACAAGGGGGAAGAAAACAUAAGGAGUCAAUCUGGACCAAGUGUAUAGCCUGAGAUCAAAUCCAAAUAUCUGAAGGAGAUUGUUUUUUAAAAUUACAGAGUUUGAGGGUGGUUUGUCAUAUAACAUUACUGUAGCUCUAGCUAUCAGAUACAAGAAGAACUGAUGAAGGAGCAAGUAAAGGAGGCAAGGAAUUUUCACUGUGCAGUAUCAGUAAGGCACAGUAAGUGAGGGAGAUGGUAAAGUCUCCAGCAGGGACUUGAAGAGGCCUGGAGAGAGGAGCUACUGUAUAGAGCAUUGACUCUGUGCAUGGCAAAACGAGACUCUUGCUUAAUGUAGAUCGAGGUCAGCAUUUGGGACCAUUCUGUGUACAACUUAAUAUGUGUCAGUAUCCAUGAGAGCACUUAUUUUGGGGGUGAGGAGAAAGUAUGUGUUAGUUUCUUUAUUUUUUGUUUUGUAUAGGCUUAGAAGGAGGACAUGGACAUGGAGAAUGAAGGACAUACUCUAGCCUCUUCCAGCAGCUGAUUCCUAAGGCUGAGUUAUUAUCUAAUGGGGAUAAGGGUGAGGGCCAGAAGCCAAAGUGAUUUUCGUAACAGUAUGAUUACCUGGACCCCAAGGCAGCCCUUCUUGUACAUACCAAAGUAUGGCACAGAAGUAGAAUGGGGAUCAUUUUCCUCCACUCCCUUGAGCACCCAGAGUCAGCUCUGGCUCCUCAAAACUUGGUGGGUUGGGCCAAUGUUGCAUGUGUUUUAAGCACUGUGCUCUCACCAUGAGCAUUACCAUCUGGUGCUACAGGGAGCUUCCUGUCAGCCUGUUCUGAGUGGAGGUCUAGAGCGGGGAGGAUGGAGUGGGACUGUAUGGAUGCCUGAGUGGCGGGUGUGUGAGGAGACGAGACACUAUUUGGGGACUUCCAGGAACACAUAGGAGGACUUGGCAGGGGACUAGCAGGGUGGGGACAAGAGAAAGAAAUUUGAGACAAUAUUAAUGGGAGCUCAUCUGAACACCCAUGCUGAUGAAAGACAUUCCAGUUACUUUAUACAUGAGGUUAAAGGUCCAGCUGGCCCAAUUCCUAGCUGCCAAUACUCUUGAAACUAUCAUGAUGAUGCUGGGGGACAUGGAACUCUCUUCAAUUGCACAUUGGGCCCAACAGAUGACUCAACCCCUGGAAGAGGAGCAUCUAAGGUAUUGCAUCUGGGGAUUUGCUGUGUGGUUUAGGAUGAAAACACACUCAUUAUAAUAUUGCCAAGAGAUGUUAGAGAAGGUGCCAAAGAUAGACAAUUGUUCAAGAGAAAUAGAUGUAUGUUAGGAAGAAAAAGAUGGAGACAAAGGAGAGAGAGAGAAAGAGAGAGAACAGAAAAGAGGGAGAGAGGGAGGACAGGAGGUGAAGGAAAGCCUCCAGUGAAAGAUGUGAAAAGUUUAGCUAUGAGAUGUACAAAGAUUCUUUUCUAACCACUGAUAACACCAGUGCUCUUUAUUUUUAGAUACUAUGAUAUUUAGGAGAAAAUCCAAGAAACUCAUGCAAUAACGUGGAGAUGCCAUUUUCAGAAAAAGAGAUGAGAAAUGUCCCUUAAUAUUCCAUAGCCUGUGUAUGAGAAGUAAGUUACAUCCACUCAUGCCUCAGGAAAUUCCCUGACCCCACACAUGGAGAAGGGACUCAGCUGCACCCUCUCCCCGAGAUGAGAUAAUAAAUUCCAUCUGCUACUUUUUUCACUAAGAAACAUUUUGGUGAGCAUCAUCUGCAGAUUUUUAAAUAUCACUGUUUUAUGAAUCCCAAAGCAGCUGGCUGUCUGCAGAGUCUCACUGUCUCUGGGAAAUCUCCCCGUGAGAAGGAGCAGAAAAAGAUAUUUUAAUCUCAAUGCAAUAAUUGAACUAUAUAUGAGAGAAACAGUGAUAUUUACAAGAUUAUGAGACAGAACUUCCCAUUAAAAUUCUCCCACAGAAGGAGCUUAAGGGAAAGAUUCACUAUUAAUAAAGAGGAAUUUUAAAAAUCCAACUAAGAAGUCACUUAUUAGUCCAGUAAUUUGUUGUGUCUCCUCUGAUUGAAGCCCUGGUCACCAUGUUUAAUUCUCUCCUCUUGGCCCAGGAGGAGAGGAAAGCCCUAGAAGACAGCCAAUUCUCUCACUAAUUUAAUCUUUCUAUUCUUCCAAUUGGUCCAAUAUCAAUGGGAAAAACUGACAUCUGGCCAUGUAGCUUCUGGGAGCAAAGUCAGAUAAUGAAUGGAGUUUGGAUAAUGAAUGAGCCUUCUUGGCUCCAGCUCGUGUGCUGGCUCAACCAGCUUAUGAGCUCAUUUUUCCAGUCCCUUCCAUUUCUUACACUAGGGAAAAUGAUACACAGCUGUGCAAGUAUCCACAAUACCUAGUUUCUGAGGAGUGUCUACUAUACCCAUUGUUUUGGGGUGGAAAAGAAAAGUGGAGGACAGAAAUCAAAAGAUAAGGAAGAAAGAAUGAAAUGGUUAGAGGGUCAGUGCAUCUAGCAGGUGUCCCAACCUUUUUUCAGCUAAGGACUGAGUUCUAAAACAGGAAGUAGCUCUAGCCUGUUCCUGAGAAUGGGACUUUCAUCUCAGUGCAGAGCCCGGAGUCUUCUGUACUGGUGUUUCUGCCUACAUCACAAAUCUUCAACUGACAUAAUAUAUAUAUUUAGGAGAGAACAUGUGUACUUAAGGUAAGUAAAAUGGUAAUGGUGAACACUGAGUCCCAGCUUUGCCACUCGCUAGCUCUAUGGUCUCAGGCAAGGCACUUAACUUCUUCAUUUCAGUUUUAUUCAUUCACUUGCUUAUAUGUUUAUUCGUGCAUUCAUUCAACUAAUACUGAGAUCCUUCUGUGUGUCCAAGGGCUCUUCCAAGGGGGUGAAACAAAAGAUACAUGUUCUGGUCUCAUGGAAGAUAGUAUACUAGUGAAAGAGACAGCCUAAACAAACAAAUGAAGGGUGGGAAGUAUCAUAUAGAAAACAAACAUGGAGCUGAGGUGGAGAAAAAUGUACUUGCAUUAGAGAAGGUGAUUAGGGAGAAACUUUUUAUAGAGGUGCUAUAAUCUUAGGAAUAAUAAAACAUUUAUUCAUAAAAUUGGGAUAACAAUGGAGCCUUUAUUAGAGCAUAGUGAACAUUAAUUAGAUGAUUCAUGUAAUGUCUUUGAUUUAGUGCCUCAUCUACAGGAAAUGUUUAAUAAAUGUUUAUUAUUAUUUCCUUUUAUCCAGAACUGGAUUUAGCACGUCGACUUAUUUCAUAUUAUGGAGCACAUAAUACUUACCACAUGGCUUUGUACUCAGUAGGUCCUCAAGAAAUGUGCGCUGCCAAUGGGUUAUGUCGAGAGUGUGUAUCACCCUCCCCACACCAUCGCUGUUCGCCAUCUUGCAGCAUCGCGGGGAGCUGCGAUUGCCCUCUUGGGCAUAGACAUAUAACAGCAAGGAAUACAUCACCCUCUGGACUCCAUAGUGGGUCCCUGCAGAAUAAUAUUGUUCCAGGCAGAAAUCAAGAGACACUUGGUGCUGAUUUGUGCUGCAGCUUCACACAGUAUAAACAGAAGCCGCCAGGGCUGUCCACUCAGCAUUUCUUUUCGGGCAUAGAAAAAAGAAAUGUUUUCCUUUUUAAAAGCAAAGAUGGAAGAAGGGCAUUUUCAGUGCAGGCUGCAGCUCUUUAUAACAUAAACUGCUUGGCCCAGGGGAAUUGAAAUGGAUGAAGCAUAUGCAAAGUCAGAUAAUGAAUGGAGCUUGGGUAAAAAGUAAUGUUAAAAGAAAUUGCUUUUUUUUUUUUGGUAUCUGUAGUGAUGUUUGUUUAACUUCAACUUGGCCAGUGGUCCCAAUCUCAUUGACACUGAACAUUUGGGAGAGAGGACAGUAAUAUCUUUGUGAUCUGACAAUGAGCACAAUAGGAUUUCUUAUUUUUAAUUUAUGUGUAAAACAAAUUUUCUAUUGGAUACUCAUUGUAGGAAUUUCAAGGACCAUCAUUUGUUACACAUGAGAAGUGAAGCUACCACAUUUGCAGCUCACUGGUAGAACUCAGAGACACCACUUCCAUCCUCUAGGAUGCUAAGUUGGUUAGAUUAUUAAUGGACUGUGGAAAGAGGAACAAAGACAGAAUGGUAGACAAUCCCAGUUUAGACCUGAGCCAUGGCUUGUGGACCUGGGCCAGCCUUUUGCAUUCUCUGGGCCUUCUGAUUUCUGGGCCACAAAAGGGAUUACUUGUGUAUUGUAAACUAUGAACACUUAGCCCUGGAAGCCUGGGGUAACUGAGGUCCUGAGUUAAACAUCAGUCUGACUCCUAAAAGCAGCCCAAGAGGGCCUUGACAGUGCACCCCAAAGUCCCUGUAGAUGGCCAGUGUCAUGAGCUUGUCUGUAGCACACUGAGCACUGCCAAGAAAGUGACCCUCAUUAUCUACCUCAGCAGUCCACUGCAGAGCACACUGUUGCCCACUGUGGGUAAGAGCUCUGCAGAGAUGCUAGAGACUUGUUCUAGGGCCUUAUGGAAGGUGAUGUCAAUCUAAGUCUAGAUCGAGUGUGGGAGAUGAGGAGGCCUCUUGUAAUGCAAAGCUCCGAAGGGAGCCCUGCACCUCUUUCUUCACAUGUACCUUAAGGCCAUUUGCAGUAGAUGUACCCUUUUGAUGGAGUCCAUGCCAGAGGCAUGGCAAAGGUGAGAGCUCUUCACAUACAUUCUGCAUGUCCAAGCACUUUUCUUUUUUUUUUUUUCAAAUAUAGUUUAUUUCUUUUUGGGUUUUUUUGGUACCAGGGAUUGAACUCAGGACCUGGAGCUUGCAAGGCAGACAGCAGAACCACUGAGCUAAAUCCCCGGCCCCCAAGCACUUUUCCUUUGAAAUACUUGGAAUAAAAAUGUUUGACUGAAUUAAACUCUAUUCUUAUUAUCACAAGAAAUUUCAACAUUUAUAUCAGUCAAAGAAAAUUUAAAAGAAGCGCUCUUGGAUUCCUCAAAGAUAAUUUCAACUGUUGUAAAUUUUUGAAUGGCCGUAAGAAAUGGUUUUAAAUUUUUUAUCACCUACUUGUUUGAACAAAGUUUCUCAUCAAUGGUGACUAUCAAGAACUUGAAGAGAUCAUUAAAAAGACUUCUCAAGACUUUCUCAUAGCCAUUUCAAGCAUAAAACAGUAUAAACUAGUUAUGUGCAUGGAAGCAAAUUCAACUUUCUCAUUAAAAUUUUGAAAAAAUUUGAGUUUUUAGUAAGUUCAAUAUUUAAUAUCUGCUUCUAAUAUUUUAUAUUUUAUUUUUAUUAUCAUCAUCAUAAAAUAUAAAGAAAAUGUAGUAAAUGUUGUCAUCCAGAUCACCUAGAUGUCCUCAAAUCCCCUCCAGGUUAUUUCACUGUGGCAAACAAAUACUAUGAUCUCAUGGCUUUACUUUGAGUAGAUACCUAAACACUUGGAUGUUAAUUCUGGUGUCUAGUCCAUUUUUUGCUGCUAAAACAAAGUACUCAGAGACUGAACACUUUAUAAUGAAUACUUUAUUUCUUAUAGCUCUGAAGUCUGAAAGUUCAGGUCAAGUCACCAGCAGAUUAAGGCUUAGUCUCUUUGCUUUCAUGGUGCUGUAAAGGCUAGGUCCUCUGGAGAGGAGCAAUGUUAUGUUCUUAUAUGGAAAAAGAGGAGAAGAGCAAGAACUCACUCCUUAAUAAUGGCAUUAAUCCUAACAUCUCCCAAAAGGGCUCACUUCUCAACAUUGUUGCAUUGGGAGUUGAGUUUCCAGCACAUGGUUGUUGGAGGAGAUGCAUUCAAACGACAGCAACUGGUCAAAGAAAGUCAUCUUUCUUUGUCCUGGUCCCACCAGCAACUUCAGACUAGGUUCUUCCAUCUAUAAAAUGACUGGAUUAGCUUAAAUUCUCUUGGUUACUCCAAAUGCUGUUAUUUUAGCAACUAUUUACUUCUAUGUUCAUGACAAGCAUUUAUUUCUUAUGAGAAUAUACAUUAGUAAUCAGUCAGUGAUUUCUGCAUAACUUCAAUAGAAAACGGUCCUUCUAAAAACCAAUGAAAAUUGGUAUGCAUCACACAGAUAAUGGAAAUGGGUCCACUUUGAGCCUAAAAUGUUUAUCAGCAAAGAUCAGCAAGGGAAAUUUAGCUUUGACUCCAAAGAAUACUGUGCUAAUGCUACACUCCUAUUUGUUCAAAUUAAACCCCCUGAAAACAUUUCUUUUGUUCCUUUAAUUUUGGGAACACAAGUCAAUUUGAAGGAAGCCAUGGUAUACUGUCCUUCCCCUUUACAGUCAGAGGGAUCUGCUGGUAUAGAGUGUGCCCAUGUUGAUCAGUUUUGCAACUCAAUGUGCCUUCCUGUUUAUUUCUAGUCAUCUCUUUUCAGUUUUGAAAACAAUGAACUCAGGUUGACCAUGAAGCCAAAGAUCAAAGGCAGUAAUUACCUUUUCAUCGGUUUGUUUUGAGCUAGCAUUCUACCUUACCUGCCUUCUUCU